rnacentral:lncRNA from 1 species
ACUGACUGCUCCUUGUCUCCAAAUGAUUUUUUUUUUUUUGGAAGCAGGCUCUCACUAAACUUCUGAGGUCGGCCUUAACUUGUAACCCACACUGGCCUCGAACUUGUGGUCAUCUGGCCUCAGCAUCUAACUGGCUGGAUUUAGAGCUUAGAAGUCUCCAGCUUUUCUUGCUGUUGGUUUGGAAGAGUCCUGCAAGGGCACUCUGUGAUACGGAUAAACCUGCUCUAUUUUGUGUAACCGUAUAUGAAGUUAGUGGCUUUUUGUUGCUUUGUUCUUGUUUUAAGAUUUUAUCUGUCUGUAUAACACGUGGGUCCCUAGAGACCAGAAGGGGCCUCAGAGUCGCUGGAAUUGCAGAAAUAGAUGGUUGUGAGCUGCCAUGUAGGUGCUGGGAACUGAACCUGGGUCCCCUGGAAGAGCAGCAAGUGCUUUUAACCACUGAGCCAUCUCUCCAGUCAGAGUUACCUGAGUUGGUUUAUUAUUACUAUUCAACCCCACGUUAUUUUGACCUCUCGUUUUGUAUGUUCCAUUAAAGAUGCUUUGAAACUGACCUGUACUGGGCUGUACGUAUCUAUGUAUGUACGUAUGAAGUUUAUAUGUAUGUAUUUUAGGAAACUUUUCCACCCUAAAGCAAUAUGAAUCCAUCGGUCACAGUUCUGGGAGUCAGAGGUAUAAAACCAGUUUUACAGGGCCAAGGUGGAGGAAGGUUGUGGUCUGGCUGCAGGGGAGGGUCUCUUGUUUGUCUCUUCCUGCUCUUAGAGCCCACCUCCUAUCUUGUUUGUGGCCUCAGCUCAGUUCCAACCCCUGCCUCUCUUCUGACUCCAACCCUCUUUCCUUCCUUCUAGAAAAGCUGUUAUUACAUUGGGAUCACACCCAGGAAAAUGCAGCCCACGAUCUUAAUUCUGUUAAAUCUUUAAUGUCUGCUUUCUCACAAGGAGAAAGUCUCUGAUUAGGACACAGAUGUAUCUGAGUGGCAAGGGUGCCAUAAUCCCCUCCAUACAGUCAUUCACCAGUGUCUGGUCAUAUGAUUAUAUACACGAGAAAAACCACGAUAAUUUACAAGACUAUCAGAAUUAAUAAUGAAUUUAAAAAAGAUGAUUCAGGUUUUUUUUUUUUUUGCAUAGUUCACACACAAAGAGCUGAAAAAUGCAAUUUUAGACAAGUUUCACAACUUAACAAAAACAAACUGUACAGUAUGUUGCAAAUUAAUCUACCAAGCUAGAUAUAUGUGGCUGUAGUCCCAGCACCUGGGUGGCUGAAGCAGAAGUCACCACAGCUGUGAUGCCAGUCUGGGCUUUAUAGAAAAAUCUUGUCUCCAAAACCAAGAAACAAACCACCAUGCAAUGAGCUGUUUCAUAGGGUUAUGGCUGUGUCACAGGGUUAUGAGGGGCUGACUCACUGACUCACUGGGUGACAGUGCCUGCAGCCAAGCUGAAUGACUUGAGUUUGAUCCCUGGAACGCACGGUGAAGCAGAAAACAAACUUCCAUGUGCCCAAGAAAUCAGGAGUUUAAAAAAAAUGUUUCUGAUUAUGAAAAGCAAUGAACUUCUGAUGUCUAGUUCAGUGUGUAGGGACCUUGGAAGUUAUUACUUAGUCCUAAUAAUUAGGAACUGAAAAGUCAGCACUGCUUGUGUUUGUCCAAGGAGUGAUGUCACAAGGCACACCGUAGUUUUAUUGCAAAAGAUAGAGUCAAUCAGCAAGUGUAGUUUGAGUGCCAGGCGCCAUCUCAUCUUCAGAGUGAGGCAAAGUUUUCCACCCAGGUUUUAGUGUCAGUAUCAAGAGCUCCGUGUAUCCAGUUCUGUUUGAUGUCGGGGUAACACAGAAGAAUCUGCAACAGGAACUAGAUUAAAUUAGUAGUCCUUAAGCUUACAGUCUUCAGAGCCAAACAGACACGAGUCUCUGUUCUGAUCCUGGAACGUGUGACCUUGAGCCCAUCACCUAAGCUCUCUGAAACUGGGUUCUGUCAUCUGCAAAAUGGAAAUAAUACCCUAUAAUACUGAGAUGGUUCAGUGAGGCACUGGACACGUACGUACACUGCAUAGUGUGUCACCUGGCAUGUGACUGUCAUAGGGACUGAUGAAAUCUAAAGCCACAUCAUCACCACUCAUACCACUCAAUGUAAUAGUAGGUUUUAGCUGGGUACUGUAGAGGCUGCAAUGGUCCAGUUUCCACGUGUGCCGCAGGCAGCUGUGAGGACCAUGUUUCUCAGCUUCUGUUUUAGGGCUUGAGUAUGGGACAGAAGAAAGGUUAAAAGUACCACAGAGCCCUGAAGCAGAGCGGAAGUUAAGCCUGUUAGGAAAAGCUACUUUCUACGUCUUUUCCUUGUUAUUCAUCUGGUAGACACUUGGGUUUCUUUGUUUAACUCUCUGCUUUUCUUGACUUGUUUUCUGAUUCUGCUCAUGUCCCGUGUUUUCUUUCCCAUUUGACCAUUGCUUGCCAACAUAAACGAAGGUAUUUUCUUGUACUAUGACCAGUAUCGAAACGAAUACAAGACUCAGUACAGAGAAACUUAAGUAUUUGUUCAAGGCAGUGGUAUUUCUCACAUGAUAUUUGUACUGUUGUGUUAAAGCUUAUAGAUUUUCAGUGGAAACUGGGCAUGGCUGUGAGCUCUGACAGCUGCAGAUCUCUCAAGUAUCCUUACGUGGCAGUGAUGCUGAAGGUGGCAGAUCACUCUGGCCAAGUAAGCAGCAAGUCCAUCGAGAUGACAAUUCCACAAUUUCAGAAUUUCUACAAACAGUUCAAAGAAAUUGCCGCUGUAAUUGAGACUGUGUGAAAACUGAUUCGUUAUUCUAAAGUAAUGGACCCUUCCUUCCAAAUGAGAACUGCAUAUGGACCACAGGACAUCUAUACAGUGAAAGCUGUGCUUCUGGGGCUGGAGAGAUGGCUUGAAGGUUAAGAGCACUGGCUGCUCUCUCAGAGGACCCAGGUUCAAUUCCCAGAACCACAUGGAAGCUCACAACUUUCUGUAACUCCGGUUCCAGGGGACCCGGCGCACAUGCAGGCAAAACGCCAACGCUAUAGAAUAAAAAUAAUUAAAAGAGAAUUUCACUUCUAGUUUUUAAAAACAAUUUUUUAAAAAAUCAGAUAAACAUUUAUUUUAGUGGUGACCAAUACUUAGCCUAGUCAGUGAGCUAAAAGUGGCUCUGUUGACCACUGGUGUGUAUAAUUAUGAGUAAUUAUAUCUUCAUAAAUAGAUGACUAGUGAUGCUAUUAAAUGCAAUACAGUUUUGUGUAUUAGAACAUUUUCAAAUCUUAUUGAUAACAGAUCUAACUUAAUAAAAUCUUGUCUGGAAUUUAUAUGAAGUUAAGAAGGUAAUUAAUAAUCGAUUAAAACUGCUUCACAAAUUCAGUUUUAUGACGUGUCUUGUGAACUAAGUAGAGGAAUUAUUAGAAGAAUUAGUGAGAAGAAUGAGGCUCCUUCCCUCAGACAUUUAUAAUCAGGUUAACUAAACCAGUCCUCCUUAUAUUAGCUGUGCUUUUGGCUGUUCUGCUGCUGUUUGUAGGAAGUUUGUCACCAGCAAUUUGCUGAGAGCAGCACAAACCAGAGCUUCCCCCAGGAGCACCUGCACUGUAUUUUUUGCUGUUCUCCAUUCCUGCCGUACUGUGCUGUUCUGAAUGAGAUUCGUCCCCAAAGUUAGUCCUCCAGUUAGUGGAACUGUUUGGGAAUUAUAACAUGUGGCCUUAUUGGAGGAGGUGUGUUACUGAGGGCUGAGGGGCUGUGAGGUUUCAAACACCCAUGCCAGGCCCAGUGUCUCUCUACCUGCAUGCCUCCAGAUCAGGAUAUAAGCUCUCAAUCCCAUGCCUGCCUGCCUGCCUGCCUGCCUGCCUCCUGUCUUUUUGUUUUUUGUGGGUUUUUUUUGGGGGGGGGGGUUGUUUUUGUUUUUGUUUUUCCUCUGAAACUAAGCAGGCCUCUUUCUUUCUUUUUUUUUUUUUUUUAAAUUAGAUAGCUCAGCCCUAGAGCAGGCUGGCUUUGAACUCAUUGAUCCACCUGUCUCUCCUUCUCAAGAGCUGGGACAUAGGCAUGUGUCACCACUGCCCAGCUGGCAAGCCCUCUGUUAAAUGCUUUCUUUUGUAAGAGUUGCCUUUGUCAUGAUGUCUCUUCAAGGGAAUAAAGCAGUAACUAAGACACCUACC